rnacentral:rRNA from 1 species
GAUGAACGCUGGCGGCGUGCCUAAUACAUGCAAGUCGAGCGAACAGACGAGAGUGCUUGCACUCUCUGACGUUAGCAGCGGACGGGUGAGUAACACGUGGGUAACCUACCUAUAAGACUGGGAUAACUUCGGGAAACCGGAGCUAAUACCGGAUAAUAUUUAGCUUCGCAUGAAGCAAUAGUGAAAGACGGUUCUGCUGUCACUUAUAGAUGGACCCGCGGUGUAUUAGCUAGUUGGUGAGGUAACGGCUCACCAAGGCAACGAUACAUAGCCGACCUGAGAGGGUGAUCGGCCACACUGGGACUGAGACACGGCCCAGACUCCUACGGGAGGCAGCAGUAGGGAAUCUUCCGCAAUGGACGAAAGUCUGACGGAGCAAUGCCGCGUGAGUGAAGAAGGUUUUCGGAUCGUAAAACUCUGUUGUAAGGGAAGAACAAGUACGUUAGUAACUGAACGUACCUUGACGGUACCUUACCAGAAAGCCACGGCUAACUACGUG